rnacentral:lncRNA from 1 species
CUUUUUAUAGCCGCACCCUCAGCAUAAGGAAUUUCCCAGGUUAGGGGUCGAAUCGGAGCUGUAGCCAGCAGCCUGUGCACAGGUACAACAACGUGGAUCUGAGCCAUCUGCAACCUACGCCACAGCUCACGACAACGCUGGAUCCUUAACCCACUGACCGAGGCCAGGGAUCGAACCCGAGUCCUCAUGGAUACUAGCUAGCGUCGUUAACCGCUGAGCCACGACGGGAACUCCCACAUGGACAUUUACUGAACCACCUCCUAUGACCUGGCUGAACCACAACAACCAGUUAAAAAAACCUGAGCGCUUCUGACAAUCAGAAAACUAGCCAGCUGCUCUCAAGAGAAAGUUAGAAUAUAUACGAUUUUGUUACACUGAGGACUAACCUGUGUGUUUGGUAUUUAAAAUGUUCGGGGAUAAUUUUCUCUAUCAGAACCAACAAAUUCCUUGGUGAUCCCAUUAAAAUGUGCCUCUUAUUUCAAACUUGAGAUUUUAAGCUGAAAGGUUUAAGAGAAUCUGGCUAGGUUUCUAUACAGCAGUGGAAUGCUUAAGAGAAGUUAAGAUUUACUGUAUCCAUAAGUUUAAUUUAUUACAUUAACUACAGAGGAGAAAUCAAAUAUAUUAUAUUUAUAAAUGCAGUAAAAAUGUUUCAAGGAAUUUAAUUAACCAAGUUGUAAACAGGUCUGAUUAUUUAAGGUAGCCUGUCCAACUGGAACACUAAUAAAAGCACCCUUGAAUAGGACUGCUGAAAUACACUGGAUUUAUUAAAAAAAUAAUAAUAAUAAGAUCUAUAAGUGGGGUUCGCAGGCUUAAGGAGAACAAAACUUGCACAUUUUUAAAAAAAUUUUGAAUAAACUGAAUGUUAACCUAAAACCCCAAAUAAAUGUUAAGUCAUCACUUUUAGGGGAAAAGACACCUUAAAGGCCAAAAGAAAACCUCAUAUCAACAAAUGAGAACUUAGGAAAAUGAGAACUUAGGAAUCAUUGUUUUGUUUUGUUUUGUUUUUGCUUUUUAGGGCCGCACCCACAACCUAUGGAAGUUCCCAGGCCAGGGGUCAAAUCAGAGCUAAAGCUGCCAGCCUACACCACAACCAUAGCAAUGCCAAAUCUGAGCCAAAUCUGCAAGCUACACCGUAAGCUUGAGGCAAUGCUGGAUCCUUAACCUACUGAUCGGGCCAGGGAUGGAACCCAAGUCCUCGGAUACCAGUCAGAUUCGCUUCCACUGCGCCACAACAGGAACUUCCAGGCAUCAUUUAAAAUACUACUGAGAAUGUAUCUUUAACGUACAUCUAUUUAUUGGCACAGUGUGGUAGGCGAUGCGAGGCAGGGCCAGGAGACCCUUAGACAAAGGAUUUGAUGUCCAGCUACCUGAGAGCUGGAGGCAGACAGCCCUUGGUGACCAGUCCUUUCAGGGACGUCUCAGGGAUGUCUUCACUGCACAGAGCCUCCUGGCUGAUGGCAUGUCCCCCCCCUCAGAACAGCUCCCGUCCAGAGACAUUUCUAGCAGGUGUAUAAAGGCCUGGCCAGCCAUGUCCAGCUCUGGACCACUUCAAAGGGUCAUCUAGCAUCGAAGCUCCACACAGGGUCAACUGAGGCCACCAAAGCCUAACCUCUCCCUCUGACCCGUCCUACUUCCUUCGGCUCCUCCCACAGAAGCCAAUACCCAGGACACCCCCAAAUAAAUAUGCUGCAGGCUCCGAUGCUUCUGGGAAACUCAAGCUGUACAACAAACUAUGUGCGCCCCCCUCCCAAUGGCUCUGUUAAAUGUUAGUCAAGGUUAAUGCCCUUCUGAGGUUAAUACGUCCAGAGUGAGAAAUAGAGUGAGGAGACCAGAAGCCUGUGAGCCUCUAAGUGUGGCUAACUGGGAGACUGCCUGCUGUGCAGACCGUAACCUACAGGAAGACACUAUCACAGGCUAGGUGAUAUCGGUGUAGCAUUCCGAGACUUCCUUUCACCUCUCACCGUCUCUGACUUAGCUCCCUGCUAGGCGAUUCUGUCCUUAUGUCAUUGCCAUUGACGGCACAGGAGCAAACAUCAGAGUGCCAGCUUCCAAACCUGCAGGGCAGACUUUGACUUCCAAAAGGGGAAUGCAUGUGCUUGUCCCCAGUUCCCUGCACUAAGAACAACUGAAAACCCUGGACAUUAUAUUUGAAAUAAAUGGAAGGAGACUCUCAAGGGUGAAGGGAAGAAGGCAAACAAAUUGGAUGAAUCUCCGGAGAAUUUGGCUGAGUGAAAAAAGCCCCACCUUAGUUCCUGCUGUGGGGUAAGAAUCCGACUGCAGUGGCGGGGUCACUGCAGAGGUGCAGGUUCUAUCCCCAGCCCCUGGCAGCGCGCUGAAGGAUCUGCUGUUGCCACAGCUGUGGCGUAGUUCCUGGGAUUCAAUCCCUGGCCCAGGAACUUCCAUGUGCGGCCAUUUAAAAAAAAAAAAAAGUCCCACCUGAAAAAAGGUUACAUACUAUGGUCCAUUACAUACUCUGUAACAUAUGUAACAUAGACUUACAUAUGUAACACAUGUAACAGGUCCUCCCUAGUCCAGUGGGGGUGUGUUCUGAGCCCCCCAGUGGAUGCCUGAAAUGGCAGGUGAUACCAAAUCCACACAGACUGUGUUCUCCUCCUCCGCUAAUGAGUAGCUAGCAAAUACAGCGUGGACACACUGGACAAAGAGGCCAGGAUGCAACAGGUCAACGAGAAAUUUCAU